CACGGUGGAUGCCUAGGCGAUCAGAGGCGAAGAAGGACGUGGACAGCUGCGAAAAGCUCCGGGGAACCGCUACCAGGUUUUGAUCCGGAGAUCUCCGAAUGGGGCAACCCGCGCAGGGACUACCUGCCAACCCAUGGUGAAUACAUAGCCAUGCGGUAGCCAAGCCAGGGAACUGAAACAUCUAAGUACCUGGACGAAAGAAAAUCAAACGAGACUCCCCUAGUAGUGGCGAGCGAACGGGGACCAGCCUAAACCCGAUGAGGUAAAACUCAUCGGGGGUCGUGGGGCUCGCGAUGUGGAGACUGGAAGCUAGAAGAACGGUCUGGGAUGGCCGGCCAUAGAGGGUGACAGCCCCGUAGUCGAAAGCAGAAGGGAUCCUAGUGAGUACCCGAGUACCGCAGGACACGAGUAAUCCGGGCGGGGAAUCUGGGGGGACCAUCCUCCAAGGCUAAGUACUACUGAUCGACCGAUAGUGAACUAGUACCGCGAGGG
rnacentral:rRNA from 1 species